GUUUCCCUGCCUUGCCCGUGACCGGCCGGCAUGCAUCCCGGGACCCAAUGCUUCGGAAGCGGGAGCUCGAGUACGGGGUGGUGUGCACGGCCCAUGGCGCUGCCAGCGGGUCGUCCUGAAAUCCCGGGGAGGGCGCCCACCUGUCAUAGACAGGGUUCCGGAGCAUCCGUCCGGCACGACAAGGCGGGGAUAUU
rnacentral:other from 1 species